rnacentral:lncRNA from 1 species
UAAGUGAUAUGCUUGUGUUGCCACUUCUGUCCUGUUAAUGCAUAUCGUUUACGACGGAUGUUAAAUUUAGAGCUGCCUCUUGUUUGGUCAGGCACACCACAUCGAGGCUUCUUCAUCCAGUCAAUCGUGUUCCUGUCCACUUUUCCUGUCAUAUUAAUGCCAUAGAACUGCUGCAUGGCAGCUAUAGCUGAUUGCAUGGUUUCUGCAGAGCGCAACACCGACAUUCUGGGGUCAGUUGGUGGAAGGUAGCCAUACUUUUGU